GAAAUGCGAUACUUGGUGUGAAUUGCAGAAUCCCGUGAACCAUCGAGUCUUUGAACGCAAGUUGCGCCCGAAGCCAUUAGGCCGAGGGCACGCCUGUCCGAGCGUCAUUACUACCUUCAAGCACGGCUUGGUUGUUGAGCCAAUUGUCCUGUUGAUGGACAGGCUUAAAAUGUAGUCGCGAUGCCGAGUCCUGGUGCCUGAGCAUAUGGAGCCUGUCACGUGCUUUAGUGGCCCAGCCGGCAUUUUCGUCGAUUAAACCUUAAAAAAAGGCUAAAAUUUGACCUCGGAUCAGGUAAGGAUACCCGCUGAACUUAA
rnacentral:misc_RNA from 1 species